GGGUGCUUCUGCAGCGCAUGUUCAAGGAAGAUACUGGACGGCAGCAGCGUCAUUUAGAGAUGUUGCCUGCCACCUGAUGCAAAAGUCGUAUACAAGGAUGCAACAGGGACAGAAGUUGAUGCAGAAAUAUUCAGCGACCUCGUUGGACAAGGCAAUGUGGUGCUGACAGUUUUCUCAGAUCAGGGAACACUUCUAUGAUGCCGCAAGCAGCACAGGAUACAUUUCUUGGCGUCUGAAAACAGUCCAG